GUGUGUCUCUGUAUGUCUCUGUAUGUAUGUGUCUGUGUGUCUCUGUAUGUAUGUAUACAGACACAUACAGAGACACACACACACAUACAGACACACACACAGACACAUACAUACAGAGACACACA